UAGGGAAUCUUCGGCAAUGGGGGCAACCCUGACCGAGCAACGCCGCGUGAGUGAAGAAGGUUUUCGGAUCGUAAAGCUCUGUUGUAAGUCAAGAACGAGUGUGAGAGUGGAAAGUUCACACUGUGACGGUAGCUUACCAGAAAGGGACGGCUAACUACGUGCCGGCAGCCGCGGUAAUACGUAGGUCCCGAGCGUUGUCCGGAUUUAUUGGGCGUAAAGCGAGCGCAGGCGGUUUGAUAAGUCUGAAGUUAAAGGCUGUGGCUCAACCAUAGUUCGCUUUGGAAACUGUCAAACUUGAGUGCAGAAGGGGAGAGUGGAAUUCCAUGUGUAGCGGUGAAAUGCGUAGAUAUAUGGAGGAACACCGGUGGCGAAAGCGGCUCUCUGGUCUGUAACUGACGCUGAGGCUCGAAAGCGUGGGGAGCGAACAGGAUUAGAUACCCUGGUAGUCCACGCCGUAAACGAUGAGUGCUAGGUGUUAGGUCCUUUCCGGGACUUAGUGCCGCAGCUAACGCAUUCAGCACUCCGCCUGGGGAGUACGACCGCAAGGUUG
rnacentral:rRNA from 1 species